GACGAACGCUGGCGGCGUGCCUAACACAUGCAAGUCGAACGGAACUCGGGACUUCGGUUCUGAGUUUAGUGGCGAACGGGUGAGUAACGCGUGAGGAACCUGCCUUUCAGUGGGGGACAACAGUUGGAAACGACUGCUAAUACCGCAUAAUGUGUUUUGGGGGCAUCCCCGAGACACCAAAGCUUUAUGUGCUGAAAGAUGGCCUCGCGUCUGAUUAGAUAGUUGGUGAGGUAACGGCUCACCAAGUCUGCGAUCAGUAGCCGGUCUGAGAGGAUGAACGGCCACAUUGGGACUGAGAUACGGCCCAG
rnacentral:rRNA from 1 species